GGGGAAUAUUGGUCAAUGGGGGAAACCCUGAACCAGCAACGCCGCGUGAAGGAAGAAGGCCUUCGGGUUGUAAACUUCUUUGACAGGGGACGAAGAAAGUGACGGUACCCUGAAAACAAGCCACGGCUAACUACGUGCCAGCAGCCGCGGUAAUACGUAGGUGGCGAGCGUUGUCCGGAUUUACUGGGUGUAAAGGGCGCGUAGGCGGGUAUGCAAGUCAGAUGUGAAAUUUAUGGGCUUAACCCAUAAACUGCAUUUGAAACUGUGUAUCUUGAGUGAUGGAGAGGUAAGUGGAAUUCCUAGUGUAGCGGUGGAAUGCGUAGAUAUUAGGAGGAACACCAGUGGCGAAGGCGACUUACUGGACAUUAACUGACGCUGAUGCGCGAAAGCGUGGGGAGCAAAC
rnacentral:rRNA from 1 species